UACGUAGGGGGCAAGCGUUGUCCGGAUUUACUGGGCGUAAAGAGCUCGUAGGCGGUUUGUCGCGUCGGCUGUGAAAACUCGGGGCUCAACCCCGAGCCUGCAGUCGAUACGGGCAGGCUAGAGUUCGGCAGGGGAGACUGGAAUUCCUGGUGUAGCGGUGAAAUGCGCAGAUAUCAGGAGGAACACCAAUAGCGAAGGCAGCUCGCUGGGACGGUACUGACGCUAAGGCGCGAAAGCGUGGGGAGCGAACAGG
rnacentral:rRNA from 1 species